CCUACGGGUGGCAGCAGUGAGGAAUAUUGGUCAAUGGGCGGGAGCCUGAACCAGCCAAGCCGCGUGAGGGAUGAAUGUACUACGUAUUGUAAACCUCUUUUGUAAGGGAACAAAGUGAGGGACGUGUGCCUGGAUGUGUGUACUUUAAGAAUAAGCAUCGGCUAACUCCGUGCCAGCAGCCGCGGUAAUACGGAGGAUCUGAGCGUUAACCGGAUUUAUUGGGUUUAAAGGGUGCGGAGGUGGGUUGUUAAGUCAGUUGGGAAAGUUCGCGGCUCAACCGUAAAAUUGCCAUUGAUACUGGCAGCCUUGAGUACAGGAGAGGUAGGCGGAAUUCGUGGUGUAGCGGUGAAAUGCUUAGAUAUCACGAAGAACUCCGAUUGCGAAGGCAGCUUACCGGACUGCCACUGACAUUGAGGCACGAAAGUGUGGGUAUCAAACAGGAUUAGAUACCCGAGUAGUC
rnacentral:rRNA from 1 species